rnacentral:rRNA from 1 species
UACGAAGGGGGCUAGCGUUGUUCGGAAUCACUGGGCGUAAAGGGCGCGUAGGCGGCUUUAUAAGUCGGGGGUGAAAGCCUGUGGCUCAACCACAGAAUUGCCUUCGAUACUGUAGAGCUUGAGACCGGAAGAGGUAAGUGGAACUGCGAGUGUAGAGGUGAAAUUCGUAGAUAUUCGGAGGAACACCAGUGGCGAAGGCGGCUCACUGGUCCAUUACUGACGCUGAGGUGCGAAAGCGUGGGGAGCAAACAGGG